CCCUACCAGUCACUCUGGUCCUCUCUACCAGACCCUACCAGUCACUCUGGUCCUCUCUACCAGACCCUACCAGUCACUCCGGUCCUCUCUACCAGACCCUACCAGUCACUCUGGUCCUCUCUACCACCAGCCAGACCCUACCAGUCACUCUGGUCCUCUCUACCAGACCCUACCAGUCACUCCGGUCCUCUCUACCAGAAAUCAAGGAUAAAUCAACCCCUAGAGACUAAGAAUGGUGGUUAAGGGUUGCUAAGCAAUGCAUCAGUUAGAUGCAUUGCUCCCCCCUGCUCUACCAUCCCCACUCAGACACACAUACUUUGCUAUUCAUUGAAGUGGCUACCCAUGCAUUUUUCACUGUCAGGUUGUAAAUGAGAGGAGAGGGUAGAGCUUAUGACAAGGGUUAUAUUGUAUUUACUGUAUAUUGUGGCUGGUGAAAGACAGAGAGAGGCAAAGACCUCUUUAAUGGAUGUUCCGGAGGUGUGAUGGUGAAAGAUAGAGAGAGGCAAAGACCUCUUUAAUGGAUGUUCCGGAGGUGUGAUGGUGAGAGACAGAGAGAGGCAAAGAGCUCUGUAAUGGAUGUUCCGGAGGUACGAUGGUGUGCGUUCCAAAUGGAACCCUUUGACCUUUGCAGCACUCUACUUGCACCACUCAGGGAAUAGGGUGCCAUUUUGGAUGCAGCCAUAUAUUCUCUGUGGCUGGUGUAGAUGACAGCAGGUCCUUGAAGGUACCUUCCGGAAAGAAACCCCUCUACUGUGUACUCUUAGGGGUUCGGACAAAAGGCAGAAAGUCCGGACUCUUCCACCACAACGGGACAAGAACAGGACGUAGAAAGUCCUGAUUCAAAGUAAAUACCAUCUAGACAGGGGACUCCUCCAAUAUCAUUAGAGUAUGAGCCCCGUUGCUGCCUGAAACCCACUUCCUCAUAUCACCAAGGCUUUGUCCCAAAUAGCACUCUGUAGACAGACUUCUAUACAAGGUCCUUAUGUUCUCUGAUCUGUCCUCUAAGCAGACUAGGCUCAGUAAUUAAUAAUGGUAGUUCAUCAUGGUUGUCUCAUGUGACUGAUUCCAUUAGUCUGGAAGCAGCAGGGGAAGCCCUGUGUGCCAGGUUGUAUCACGUGACUGAUUCCAUUAGUCUGGUAGCAGCAGGGGAAGCCCUGUGUGCCAGGUUGUAUCACGUGACUGAUUCCAUUAGUCUGGUAGCAGCAGGGGAAGCCCUGUGUGCCAGGUUGUCUCAUGUGACUGAUUCCAUUAGUCUGGUAGCAGCAGGGGAAGCCCUGUGUGCCAGGGUGGGGUGUAAGAGACACCUGGUCUACUUCCCAAAUAGCACCCUGUUCCCUAUAUAGAGCACUACCUUCGUACUGUGUAGGGAAUAAGGUCCCAUUUGGGACAGCCCUCGUGCGAUGCCUCACGACGCCAAGACAGGAAUCUUCUCUCAGCUGCUACUUAUCUCUCCCUCACCUCAUUCACACACAUCUAUUACACAAACAAGCGCACACACACACACACACACACACACAAGCACGCACGUGCACACACACACACACUGUAAUUACAGUGGAAGAAUGAUCUAUGACUAGAAUAGGUUUUCCAGACAGUGGAAGCAGUAAUCACUAGUCACAGCACUGUGUCUCUGUGGAGGUAGUAAUCACUAGUCUCAACACAGUGUCUCUGUGGAGGUAGUAAUCACUAGUCACAUCAGUGUCUCUGUGGAGGUAGUAAUCACUAGUCUCAACACAGUGUCUCUGUGGAGGUAGUAAUCACUAGUCACAGCACAGUGUCUCUGUGGAGGUAGUAAUCACUAGUCUCAACACAGUGUCUCUGUGGAGGUAGUAAUCACUAGUCUCAACACAGUGUCUCUGUGGAGGAAGUAAUCACUAGUCUCAGCACAGUGUCUCUGUGGAGGUAGUAAUCACUAGUCACAGCACAGUGUCUCUGUGGAGGUAGUAAUCACUAGUCACAGCACAGUGUCUCUGUGGAGGUAGUAAUCACUAGUCUCAGCACAGUGUCUCUGUGGAGGUAGUAAUCACUAGUCACAGCACAGUGUCUCUGUGGAGGUAGUAAUCACUAGUCUCAACACAGUGUCUCUGUGGAGGUAGUAAUCACUAGUCACAGCACAGUGUCUCAGUGGGAGUCAGGAGAGGAAAACAAAAUGGAGAUGAGGUGUAUAUGUGUUUUUACUCACCUGAGGUCCUGGUAAACCAACAUCUCCCUUUUCUCCCUUUUCACCAUCACCACCCUGAAACAGAAAUGGACAUGAGAGAAAAACAACCUCUUUAUCAUUCAUUCCUUUGUCAUUUUGUCAUUUCACACAAAGCCAGUGGGUAGAUGGAAUGGUUUGCAAAUGAUUGACUGUACAUUAGUCAUAUGAGGCACACUGUUAUGGAACACAGUUUAACCAGAGGCAAACGUGUUCAUAUACAGGCUAUAUACUGUAUCAUAUCUUAUGUUUAUAUACAGGCUAUAUACUGUAUCAUAUCUUAUGUUUAUAUACAGGCUAUAUACUGUAUCAUAUCUCAUGUUUAUAUACAGGCUAUAUACUGUAUCAUAUCUUAUGUUUAUAUACAGGCUAUAUACUGUAUCAUAUCUUAUGUUUAUAUACAGGCUAUAUACUGUAUCAUAUAUCAUGUUUAUAUACAGGCUAUAUACUGUAUCAUAUCUUAUGUUUAUAUACAGGCUAUAUACUGUAUCAUAACUUAUGUUCAUAUAUACUCUGAGUGUACUAUAUACAUAUAUAUAUAUGAACAUUGUCACGCCCUGGUCUUAGUAUUUUGUGUUUAUAUAUUUAUUUGGUCAGGCCAGGGUGUGACAUGGGGUUAUUUUGUGUUGUGUUGUGGUAUUGGGGGUUUUAGUAGGUAUUGGGAUUGUGGCUGAGUAGGGGUGUCUAGCAUAGUCUAUGGCUGCCUGAGGUUCUCAAUCAGAGUCAGGUGAUUCUCGUUGUCUCUGAUUGGGAACCAUAUUUAGGAAGCCUGGGUUUCACUGUGUUUUCGUGGGUGAUUGUUCCUGUCUUAGUGUUUUGUUUUUCACCAGAUAGGGCUGUUUCGGUUUUCAUUAUUUCAUUUCGUUAGUUUUGUAGUUUCUGUAUGUAUAGGUUUUCCUUCAUUAAAAUAUAUCAUGAAUCAUCA
ensembl:lncRNA